UACGUAGGGUGCAAGCGUUAAUCGGAAUUACUGGGCGUAAAGCGUGCGCAGGCGGUGAUGUAAGACAGUUGUGAAAUCCCCGGGCUCAACCUGGGAACUGCAUCUGUGACUGCAUCGCUGGAGUGCGGCAGAGGGGGAUGGAAUUCCGCGUGUAGCAGUGAAAUGCGUAGAUAUGCGGAGGAACACCGGAUGGCGAAGGCAACUCCCCUGGGCC
rnacentral:rRNA from 1 species